rnacentral:rRNA from 1 species
AUUGAACGCUGGCGGCAGGCCUAACACAUGCAAGUCGAGGGGAUGAAGGGAGCUUGCUCCUGGAUUCAGCGGCGGACGGGCGAGCAAUGGCUAGGAAUCUACCUGGUCGUGGGGGACAACAUCCGGAAACGGGCGCAAAUACCGCAUACGUCCUGAGGGAGAAAGAGGGGGAUCCUCGGACUUCUGGCUUUCAGAUGAGCCUAGGUCGGCUUAGCUAGUUGUUGGGGUAAAGGCCUAUCAAGGCGACGAUCCGGAAAUGGUCUGAGAGGAUGAUCAGUCACACUGGAUCGGAGACGCGGUCCUGUCUCCUACGGGAUGCAGCAGAGUGGAAUUUUGGACAAUAGGCGAGAGCCUGGCCCAACCAAGCCGCGUAUGUGAAGAAGUUCUUCGGAUUGUGGUGCACUUCUGGUUGGGAGUAAGAGCAUUAGUAUGAAACCUUGCUGUUUUGACGUUACCGACAUAAUAAGCACCGGCUAACUUCGUG